rfam:Trichobilharzia regenti genome assembly, scaffold: TRE_scaffold0014845
GUACUAAUGAAGAGUCCCAAACUAGGACGAAACAGCUGUUCAGUAC